UAUGGCUAUAUCAUGUUGAAACACCAGUUCCCAUGCAAUCACCAAAGUUAAGCAACACUGACCUUGGUCAAUAUCUAGAUGGGUGACCGCUUGGGAAUACCAGGUGCUGUAAGC